rnacentral:rRNA from 1 species
UGUGGCCAAGUUUUUAAGGGCGCACGGUGGAUGCCUUGGCACCAGGAACCGAUGAAGGACGUGGGAGGCCACGAUAGUCCCCGGGGAGUCGUCAACCAGGCUUUGAUCCGGGGGUUUCCGAAUGGGGAAACCCGGCAGUCGUCAUGGGCUGUCACCCAUGCCUGAACACAUAGGGCAUGUGGAGGGAACGCGGGGAAGUGAAACAUCUCAGUACCCGCAGGAAGAGAAAACAACCGUGAUUCCGGGAGUAGUGGCGAGCGAAACCGGAUGAGGCUAAACCGUAUACGUGUGAGACCCGGCAGGGGUUGCGUAUGCGGGGUUGUGGGAUCUCUCUUCCACGGUCUGCCGGCCGUGGGACGAGUCAGAAACCGUUGAUGUAGGCGAAGGACAUGCGAAAGGUCCGGCGUAGAGGGUAAGACCCCCGUAGUCGAAACAUCAGCGGCUCGUUUGAGAGACACCCAAGUAGCACGGGGCCCGAGAAAUCCCGUGUGAAUCUGGCGGGACCACCCGCUAAGCCUAAAUAUUCCCUGGUGACCGAUAGCGGAUAGUACCGUGAGGGAAUGGUGAAAAGUACCGCGGGAGCGGAGUGAAAUAGUACCUGAAACCGUGUGCCUACAAGCCGUGGGAGCGUCGGAACAAGGCUUGCCUUGUUCUCGUGACUGCGUGCCUUUUGAAGAAUGAGCCUGCGAGUUUGCGGUGUGUUGCGAGGUUAACCCGUGUGGGGAAGCCGUAGCGAAAGCGAGUCCGAAUAGGGCGUUUCAGUAGCACGCUCAAGACCCGAAGCGGAGUGAUCUAGCCAUGGGCAGGUUGAAGCGGAGGUAAGACUUCGUGGAGGACCGAACCCACCAGGGUUGAAAACCUGGGGGAUGACCUGUGGUUAGGGGUGAAAGGCCAAUCAAACUCCGUGAUAGCUGGUUCUCCCCGAAAUGCAUUUAGGUGCAGCGUCGUGUGUUUCUUGCCGGAGGUAGAGCACUGGAUAGGCGAUGGGCCCUACCGGGUUACUGACCUUAGCCAAACUCCGAAUGCCGGUAAGUGAGAGCGCGGCAGUGAGACUGUGGGGGAUAAGCUCCAUGGUCGAGAGGGAAACAGCCCAGAGCAUCGACUAAGGCCCCUAAGCGUACGCUAAGUGGGAAAGGAUGUGGAGUCGCAGAGACAACCAGGAGGUUGGCUUAGAAGCAGCCACCCUUGAAAGAGUGCGUAAUAGCUCACUGGUCUAGUGAUUCCGCGCCGACAAUGUAGCGGGGCUCAAGCGUACCGCCGAAGUCGUGUCAUUGCAGCAUAUACGGCCAACGCCGGCUGUGAUGGGUAGGGGAGCGUCGUGUGCCGGGUGAAGCAGCCGCGGAAGCGAGUUGUGGACGGUUCACGAGUGAGAAUGCAGGCAUGAGUAGCGAUACAAACGUGAGAAACGUUUGCGCCGAUUGACUAAGGGUUCCUGGGUCAAGCUGAUCUGCCCAGGGUAAGUCGGGACCUAAGGCGAGGCCGACAGGCGUAGUCGAUGGAUAACCGGUUGAUAUUCCGGUACCCGCUGUGAAGCGUCAAACAUCGAGCAUCGUGAUGCUAAGGCCGUGAAGCCGCCCUGGAUCCUUCGGGUGAAGGGGAGUGGUGGAGCCGCCGAACCAAGCGGUUAGUAGGUGAGUGAUGGGGUGACGCAGGAAGGUAGUCCAUCCCGGGCGGUGGUUGUCCCGGGGUAAGGGUGUAGGCCGUGAUCCAGGCAAAUCCGGAUCACUUGUGGCUGAGACCUGAUGCCGAGCCGAUUGUGGUGAAGUGGAUGAUCCUAUGCUGUCGAGAAAAGCCUCUAGCGAGUUUCAUGGCGGCCCGUACCCUAAACCGACUCAGGUGGUCAGGUAGAGAAUACCGAGGCGUUCGGGUGAACUAUGGUUAAGGAACUCGGCAAAAUGCCCCCGUAACUUCGGGAGAAGGGGGGCCACACCUGGUGAGAACACUUGCUGUUCGAGCUGGGGGUGGCCGCAGAGACCAGCGAGAAGCGACUGUUUACUAAAAACACAGGUCCGUGCGAAGCCGUAAGGCGAUGUAUACGGACUGACGCCUGCCCGGUGCUGGAACGUUAAGGGGACCGGUUAGCUCCAUUUCGGUGGGGCGAAGCUGAGAACUUAAGCGCCAGUAAACGGCGGUGGUAACUAUAACCAUCCUAAGGUAGCGAAAUUCCUUGUCGGGUAAGUUCCGACCUGCACGAAUGGCGUAACGACUUCUCGACUGUCUCAACCAUAGGCCCGGUGAAAUUGCACUACGAGUAAAGAUGCUCGUUUCGCGCAGCAGGACGGAAAGACCCCGGGACCUUUACUACAGUUUGAUAUUGGUGUUCGGUUCGGCUUGUGUAGGAUAGCUGGGAGACUGUGAACUCUGGACGCCAGUUCAGGGGGAGUCGUCGUUGAAAUACCAGUCUGGUCGUGCUGGAUGUCUAACCUGGGUCCGUGAUCCGGAUCAGGGACAGUGUCUGAUGGGUAGUUUAACUGGGGCGGUUGCCUCCUAAAGAGUAACGGAGGCGCCCAAAGGUUCCCUCAGCCUGGUUGGCAAUCAGGUGUUGAGUGUAAGUGCACAAGGGAGCUUGACUGUGAGACCGACGGGUCGAGCAGGGACGAAAGUCGGGACUAGUGAUCCGGCGGUGGCUUGUGGAAGCGCCGUCGCUCAACGGAUAAAAGGUACCCCGGGGAUAACAGGCUGAUCUUCCCCAAGAGUCCAUAUCGACGGGAUGGUUUGGCACCUCGAUGUCGGCUCGUCGCAUCCUGGGGCUGGAGUCGGUCCCAAGGGUUGGGCUGUUCGCCCAUUAAAGCGGUACGCGAGCUGGGUUUAGAACGUCGUGAGACAGUUCGGUCCCUAUCCGCUGUGCGCGUAGGAAUAUUGAGAAGGGCUGUCCCUAGUACGAGAGGACCGGGACGGACGAACCUCUGGUGUGCCAGUUGUCCUGCCAAGGGCAUGGCUGGUUGGCUACGUUCGGGAGGGAUAACCGCUGAAAGCAUCUAAGCGGGAAGCCUGCUUCGAGAUGAGUAUUCCCACCUCCUUGAGAGGGUAAGGCUCCCAGUAGACGACUGGGUUGAUAGGCCGGAUAUGGAAGCACGGUAACGUGUGGAGUUGACCGGUACUAAUAGGCCGAGGGCUUGUCCUC